rnacentral:miRNA from 1 species
AUUUAGCCAGCUGAGUGGGGAGGAGAGAGGAACAGAGAGCCUGCUUGCUUUAAAUGAGCCAACCGGACAGGAGCCGCUUACACUCCUCUCCUCUCCCGCUUUGCUCCUUUAAAGCAAGCAGGCUCUCUGUCCCUCUCUCCUCCCCACUCAGCGGCUCUUCUC